UGGGGAAUCUUAGACAAUGGGGGCAAGCCUGAUCUAGCCAUGCCGGGUGWGUGAUGAAGGCCUUAGGGUSGUAAAGCUCUUUCGCCAGAGAUGAUAAUGACAGUAUCUGGUAAAGAAACCCGGCUAACUCCGUGCCAGCAGCCGCGGUAAUACGGAGGGGGUUAGCGUUGUUCKGAAUUACUGGGCGUAAAGCGCACGUAGGCGGAUUAGUAAGUUGAGGUGAAAUCCCAGGGCUCAACCCUGGAACUGCCUUUAAUACUGUUAGUCUUGAGUUYGAGAGAGGUGAGUGGAAUUCCAAGUGUAGAGGUGAAAUUGGUAGAUAUUUGGAGGAACACCAGUGGCGAAGGCGGCUCACUGGCUCGAUACUGACGCUGAGGUGMGAAAGUGUGGGGAGCAAACAGGAUUAGAUACCCUGGUAGUCCACACCGUAAACGAUGAAUGCCAGUCGUCGGGCAGUAUACUUUCGGUGACACACCUAACGGAUA
rnacentral:rRNA from 1 species